UAAUUCUGCACCCGGGUCGUACGACCGAGCCAGCCCGAAGCCUCCUCCUGGUGCGGCUCAACGACACCCAUCACCGUAUAUGCCAUGCUCACGAUGACAGACUCCACCUGCUGUAAUAUCUAAAGAAAAAUUACGCUGGAGGUUUUUUCUCUAUCGUGGUGAUCGGGAGGCCUAAUCCCCACUCGCCGCGGUUAUUCUUGGCCAGUCCCCAAUCUCUCCACGCUCUCCUCUCCUCCAGCUCCUCAGAUCCGGCGACCUCCGGCUCCUCGCCGCCGCCACGGAAAUUCGGCGCCUCCGCGCCCUUUAUCGACCCAUGGAGACCCGGGUUCACUUCCUUCGACGGCUGUCCCGAAUUUCAGGCGUCGCGCGUGGCCGGAGCUGAGGACGCGUUCCUCUCCGUCUCCCGGGAGAAAGGGGAACGGCGACCCACUGGCGCAGCUGCCGUCCGGAGAUCGCUGGUGGCGACGUACCCGGUAGUUCUGUGGGAGAGGAGCAGGCGGAGGCCGGCCAUGGUGUCCUGCGUUGGCCGCGGAGGCAGGGGAAUCGCCAACGAGGCGUACAUCAGGUAUUACGAGGCGGCGCCGAAGACGGCAUUGGAGGCGGCGGCAAGCGAUCUUACCGAGCUCCAGACCAUGGGCCUCGUCUCCGACGACGGGGCAAGGAUAAGAUUCUCUUGGUGAGCCUUCUCCCUCACUCCUUUCCCACCCAUUGAUUUUGUGGUUCUGUUCCUGGGCGACGUCGUAUCUUCCUCCCCUACCGAGGCUCAAGCCUCCCUCCACUCUCGUGGCUGCCCCUGACCAACCCUUCUCCUAUGACGCCGCGGCAGAUGCGUCCGGAAUCAGGGACCAUCUCGGGGACGAUGCAGGAUUGCAGGUGGCCGUGAGACGGGACCUCCCCACUUCUUAUUUUCUGUCAGCUUUUUUUUUCCCCUUCUCAAGUGGAUCUGAAGGUUCUGGUUUACAGCUAUUGUACCAUCGACCCAUAUUGCCUCCUGAGGUAACCCCUUUGGAGCAAAUCAGUGUGUGUGGUGUUACCCACUGCAUAACUUUGCAACUUUAGUUUGAGUCGUUAGAAUUUACAGAGCAGGUAGAAGAAGCAGGAAUCUUGCAAAUUAUUUAUCGCGGUCUCUCUAAGAACCAGGAGUAAUCUUGUAUAACAUCAAUCUUGAUUGUUCAUUCAGGUUAUUACUUGCUAUUGUUCUGUAGCAUAAACCAGAUGGGUACGUGCUAUUUUGGUGACUAUCUUUGUGAUUGUAGCUAGGCAGAUGGGAAUGUGAUAUCACAGGGGUGUUUGUUUUAGUGCAUGGUUGGGAAUCUCUAUUAUAGAGUAGUAGUUAUAUUCUUUAGGAGAAAUCUGGGAUAAAAGAAGAUGCAGCCUCUGAAUUUCAUUCAAUAGCUCUGCGAAGAAUUAUUGCUUGUGCCUGACACGUUCUUUAUCAGAGUCCUUGCCGAUUGUGGCAGGCUCGCGUCAGCCAGCGUAGGCACUCCGCACUCGGCAUGGUGAGCUAGCUGCAGCACUGCAGCUUCGAUCUCUGUCGAAGUCUCCUCAUAGGUGCCGGCACGCUGCGCGCGAACAUUGAGCAGCAGCAGGCAACAACUUCAAUGUCGGUGUCUCUCAGCGCCACUUGCAAAGCAGCUUCAAACUACUCUACUCUCCUCCAGUAAUUAUAUUCUUUCAUGUUUCAUACUUCGUUCUACCGCAGUGCAGAUAUUGAGUGAUAAUUUGCAGUUUACAUCACCGCUAAACUUUGGUUGCCGCUGUACAUGAUAAAAUAUUACUUUGGACUACUUAUUUAAUAGCAUUUGAGGUCAAGUUAUAUUCCAUCUGUUAAAUUAAAAUAAAGGAAGAAACACACUAGGCCUGAUAGUAUAUGGUAGUGCUUGAUAGGAAGAGGAUGAAUGCCAUGUAGUCCAAAGAAGGUUGCUUUACAUGGAUCUGUCGAAUAGCAAUUGGCAAGAAGAGUACACAUUAGCGGAUUAUAACAUUAGUCUUAUUUGCUUUUGAAGUAGGUUGAACUUUAUUAUUUUGUCUAUUCUUUGGCCACAUGUGAUUCAUUGUUCUCGAUAUAAAAUUAUGCAUUACAUCCUCACGGAGCGGAAGUGCUAACUUGAUAGAAUAUAACACCAUCUACUUGGUUAUAAAGAACAAAAUCAUAUGUCAGUCUAUGUACAUAUUUUAUCGAUCCCUUUAUUCGCGAUUGGAGGCUUAAAUUCUGAAUUUUGUAGUUCAGGAGUAGCUAGCUCCCAUGUGUUGGUGUAUUUAAAUAUUUUGGCAAUCUCUGCAUAUCGUAGCCUUUUUAGGUCUCCCAGUUUAAAUGAUAUAGAGUGUAAUCUCUGCAUCUUGUAAUUUUAUUUACGUAUUGUCAAUUGUAUUGAUUUCUCAGGUGUUCAAUGCCAGAAACCUCAUGAGCUGAAUAUAUUAAGGUUAUUACAGGGAAACCACCUCUACCUUAGUUAAUGAAAAAACACUGCUAUAAUUUCUCUGUUCAACAGCUGAAGGGGUUUAUGUUACUGUUGUAAGCUUAUUUUUCCUGUGUAUGCAGGAUUUUAUUGUCGAGUUCCUUUACAAGUUCCCUUCAGUAGUCAUGCUAACUUGGCAGUGGCCGCUGUGGUUGGUACCAAUUGGUCUUUGUUCUUUGUAGCACUCUUGGAAAAGCAUAUCGCUGUUGCAGAUUGUGCCUUCUCGGUGAUCUUGUUGCCUUCUUGGCAUGGAAGAAACAAGGAUAUAUAUAUACCACUGUAUUUGACCUAGUGCCUGUUGUGUGGCUUCCUCUCUGAACAUCAAAUGAAGCGACAUAAAGUUGGCAUCGACGACAUUAUAUAGCUUCUUUUGUCAAAGAUUAUCAUGUCUCAUGCAUGAGCUAUAAUUAUCCCUUAUUUGAAUUGUGUAUACACUAGGCUUCACAUGUAAUUAUUGGGUCUACGCAAAUAUUAUGUGUAUUCCUUUCUUACUAAAUCUCUCAUACACUAGGCUGUCGUGAGUUGCUAGAUUUUGAAUGCACAGCAGGAUUAUGACUUUA